rnacentral:rRNA from 1 species
UAACCUGCCCAAUGAUUAUAUUUAAUGGCCGCGGUAUUUUGACUGUGCAAAGGUAGCAUAAUCAUUAGCUUAUUGAUUGUAAGAUGGUAUGAAUGGUUGGACGAGAUAUUAACUGUCUUCAUUUCUAUUAAUAUAAAUUAAUUUUUGAGUCAAAAAGCUUAAAUUUUAUUAAAGGACGAGAAGACCCUAUAGAUCUUUAUUAAUUAAAUUUUAUUUGUUUUUGGUUUAUAUUUUUUAUAAAGUUUAUUUUUUUUUGUUGGGGUGACAUUUAGAUAUAAUUAACUCUUUAUUUGUUUUUUCAUUUAUUUUUGUAUAUUUGAUUUUUUAUUAUUUAUUUAAGAUAUAGAUACCUUAGGGAUAACAGCGUAAUUCUUUUUGAGAGUUCAUAUUGACACUGGAGAUUGCGACCUCGAUGUUGAAUUAAGAUUAUAUUUUGGUGUAGUAGC